CGCUGGCGGCAGGCCUAACACAUGCAAGUCGAGCGGUAGAGAGGUGCUUGCACCUCUUGAGAGCGGCGGACGGGUGAGUAAUACCUAGGAAUCUGCCUGGUAGUGGGGGAUAACGUUCGGAAACGGACGCUAAUACCGCAUACGUCCUACGGGAGAAAGCAGGGGACCUUCGGGCCUUGCGCUAUCAGAUGAGCCUAGGUCGGAUUAGCUAGUUGGUGAGGUAAUGGCUCACCAAGGCUACGAUCCGUAACUGGUCUGAGAGGAUGAUCAGUCACACUGGAACUGAGACACGGUCCAGACUCCUACGGGAGGCAGCAGUGGGGAAUAUUGGACAAUGGGCGAAAGCCUGAUCCAGCCAUGCCGCGUGUGUGAAGAAGGUCUUCGGAUUGUAAAGCACUUUAAGUUGGGAGGAAGGGCAUUAACCUAAUACGUUAGUGCUUUGACGUUACCGACAGAAUAAGCACCGGCUAACUCUGUGCCAGCAGCCGCGGUAAUACAGAGGGUGCAAGCGUUAAUCGGAAUUACUGGGCGUAAAGCGCGCGUAGGUGGUUUGUUAAGUUGAAUGUGAAAUCCCCGGGCUCAACCUGGGAACUGCAUCCAAAACUGGCAAGCUAGAGUAUGGUAGAGGGUAGUGGAAUUUCCUGUGUAGCGGUGAAAUGCGUAGAUAUAGGAAGGAACACCAGUGGCGAAGGCGACUACCUGGACUGAUACUGACACUGAGGUGCGAAAGC
rnacentral:rRNA from 1 species